rnacentral:lncRNA from 1 species
GGUAAGGCCGCUUCUGCACAGGGACAUGUCUCCAGGGUUUGGGACUUGCCAGGAGUGCAAUUCAUCCAGCUCCAGCCCAGGAGACGUGGUGGGGCCGUGCCAGUGCCCCAGCAGCCAGUGGUGAUCCUCCAGCAGCUUCCUGGGACCAUGGCUGCCCUGGCUCCCCCCACCAGACCCCCAGACAUCCGGGGAGAUUUAAUUGAGUUGAUGAUGAUUCAAAACUUCCAAAUGCACCAGGUGGUGAUGAACAGCCUGACUGUGUCUGCUCUGGCAUCCUUCGGGUUUGGGCCAUCCCCAGCCACUGCCCAGGUAAGGGUCAGAGAUGUUGCAAAGG